rnacentral:rRNA from 1 species
UGGGGAAUAUUGCACAAUGGGCGCAAGCCUGAUGCAGCCAUGCCGCGUGUGUGAAGAAGGCCUUCGGGUUGUAAAGCACUUUCAGCGAGGAGGAAGGUGGUGAGCUUAAUACGCUCAUCAAUUGACGUUACUCGCAGAAGAAGCACCGGCUAACUCCGUGCCAGCAGCCGCGGUAAUACGGAGGGUGCAAGCGUUAAUCGGAAUUACUGGGCGUAAAGCGCACGCAGGCGGUUUGUUAAGUCAGAUGUGAAAUCCCCGGGCUCAACCUGGGAACUGCAUUUGAAACUGGCAAGCUAGAGUCUCGUAGAGGGGGGUAGAAUUCCAGGUGUAGCGGUGAAAUGCGUAGAGAUCUGGAGGAAUACCGGUGGCGAAGGCGGCCCCCUGGACGAAGACUGACGCUCAGGUGCGAAAGCGUGGGGCAGCAAACAGGAUUAGAUACCCUGGUAGUCCAGCGCUGUAAAACGAUGUCGAUUUUGGAGGUUGUGCCCUUGAGGCGUGGCUUCCGGAGCUAACGCGUUAAAUCGACCGCCUGGGGAGUACGGCCGCAAGGUUAAAACUCAAAUGAAUUGACGGGGUC